GGCUUUGGACUGCGGAGCACGACGGGAGUCGUAGUCCCCAGGCCUGCUCGGGCCCACGUCGUCGGAGACUAGCAGGAACCGCCUCCUCCCCUUUGCAUAUCGGGGAAGUGUAGUUCUCAAGAGCAUUGUGGGGCCGGUUGCUGCCCGAAUCUCCCUAGGGAAUGGGACCGAGUUGGGGACCCAGACCCCCUGGCCUUCAUGGCCACAGUCCUGUCGCCGCCCCACCAAAAGCCAAUCUCUAAGAAUCUGGAACGAUGAAGGUGGUGAUGAUUGUGCCUGUAGCCAAGACCGGGAGAACCCUGGACCCCUACAUCUUCCCCACCCCUGGAAUGUCACUAUACAUAUCUGACUUCCUUCUGAUGUUGCCUUUGACCCUAAAGUCAAUAUGAUAAAGUAACAAGAAGCUGGGACAGAGGAACAAACACAGCCCACUCACGUAGUGGUGGCAACAUUCUGUUAGAAAGGAGGGGAGUCAAAUAAAAAAACACCCCUCCCCCAAUUUCCUUGAUCACCUCCCUAAAGACAGAGGAGAACAUGGACACCCUCCAUCCUGGCAGACAUGCCGUGUGGUCAGUUUGUG
rnacentral:antisense_RNA from 1 species